AUGACUUAUGAGGCUACCAGAGGCUACUACACCUCCAGAUUAAUGACAGCCUGCAACUUACUUGCUUCCAACACACUAGUAACACAUUCUAAGGUUCGUAAUCGGCUACUUAAUAGCGCGGUUGCUAUUAUGUGGGUAAAGGUCCUCAUUUUGUUGAUGGUGGCAUCUUACAAAGAAAAGUGCGCCGCCCCGCCCGCAAUGUCGUUGUUGCUUGCUAGCUGCUGGUGGUUCGUGUGCCCUGGUCGCUGCUGCUAUAGGGAAGUUCGAGAUGGGAACACUUGUUUCAAAUGCUCUCCUCCCAUUCGCGAUGCUGCCAACAAGGAAAACCUCUGGGAAGCUCUGCUGUACAAACACAUCAGCAUAGUGAGUAAGGAUGUGGCACCUUGGGGAAUAAUGCCUACAAAGCAAGCCCAGGAUGACGACGCUGAUCACUAG
rnacentral:rRNA from 1 species